ACGGGGUGCAGCAGGCGCGAAACCUUUACACUGCACGAAAGUGUGAUAAGGGAAUCCCAAGUGCUAAUGCUUUGCAUUGGCUUUUGCCAAGAGUAAAUAUCUUGGCGAAUAAGUGGUGGGCAAGACGGGUGCCAGCCGCCGCGGUAACACCCGCGCCACAAGUGGGGACCUCGUUUAUUGGGCCUAAAGCGUCCGUAGCUGGUUUAGUAAAUCUUCUGUGAAAUCGUUGGGCUUAACUCAACGGCGUGCAGAGGACACUGCUAGACUCGGAACCGGGAGGAGUUAGGAGUAUUCUUGGGGGAGCGGUAAAAUGCUAUAAUCCUUGGAAGACUACCUGUGGCGAAGGCGCCUAACCAGAACGGAUUCGACAGUGAGGGACGAAAGCUAGGGGAGCGAACCGGAUUAGAUACCCGAGUAGUCCUAGCAGUAAACGCUGCGAGCUAGGCGUUGCAGGAUCUUCGGGAUUCUGCAGUGUCGUAGUGAAGACGUUAAGCUCGCCGCCUGGGAAGUACGGUCGCAAG
rnacentral:rRNA from 1 species